UGGGGAAUAUUGGACAAUGGGGGGAACCCUGAUCCAGCCAUGCCGCGUGUGUGAAGAAGGCCUUAUGGUUGUAAAGCACUUUAAGCGAGGAGGAGGGUACUGGUAUUAAUACUACCAGGUACUGGACGUUACUCGCAGAAUAAGCACCGGCUAACUCUGUGCCAGCAGCCGCGGUAAUACAGAGGGUGCGAGCGUUAAUCGGAUUUACUGGGCGUAAAGCGUGCGUAGGCGGCUAAUUGAGUCGGAUGUGAAAUCCCCGAGCUUAACUUGGGAAUUGCAUUCGAUACUGGUAAGCUAGAGUGUGGGAGAGGAUGGUAGAAUUCCAGGUGUAGCGGUGAAAUGCGUAGAGAUCUGGAGGAAUACCGAUGGCGAAGGCAGCCAUCUGGCCUAACACUGACGCUGAGGUACGAAAGCAUGGGGAGCAAACAGG
rnacentral:rRNA from 1 species